rnacentral:lncRNA from 1 species
UAGAGCCUUACGCCGCCACCAUGAGUUAGCAAGAGCAGGCAGUAUUGUUCCCAAUUUGCACAUGAAGAAGUGAAUGCUCAGCAAAGUUGUCAGAGGCAUUCGAACCAGAGUGACUCCAUUUUGAGUGAGGACUAGGAAAAUGAGGCUGAGACUUGCUGGGCUGCAUUCUCAGAAAGUUAGGCAUUAUUAGCCUCUGCAUGAACAAAUUAAUCGUGUUUACUGAACAGGCCCAGACUUGGGAAUGUCCAGAUAACCUGGUACAAAGGUAUUCCUUUUUUUUUUUUUUUUUUUUGAGACGGAGUCUUACUCUGUUGCCCAGGCAGGAGUGCAGUGGCACGAUGUCGGCUCACUGCAAACUCUGCCUCCCAGAUUCAAGCAAUUCCCUGCCUCAGCCUCCCAAGUAGCCUCCUAAAGUCCUUAUUUAAUAUAUAUUGCUGAAUAAUUCACAUUGAACUCAUAGCCAACAGCACUAUAACUCAUGCCUGCACGAAGCUUAACUACCAGACAUAUUUUCUCCACAUGGCACAUCACAGCUUUCUCUCACUUAGGAACUCUGGACAGCACUUCAGCAUGAUGCUGGGACCAUUUUAAACAGCGGAAUCACCAACACGCAGCAGAAAAAUGCAAAACACAUGGUACCAAGUAGACCUUGAAAAGGACACUUGCUUGUGGUAUGAGCUGAAACAAGAAGGCAGACUGUCACCUUGUUCACCCUCUGCUGGGAAUGUGCACAUCCUGCCAAAUUUUUCUCUGCUCUGUGUUCAUUGAUGGCCAUGCAAGCACUGUGAGUAUUGAUUUUGGCAAUACAAGUAAAUUGUAUGGAGUAGACAAAUUUUUAUUUUUUUAUUUUUAUUUUUUGAGAUGGAGUCUUGC